CGACAUGGGCGGCGUGCUAUACAUGCAGUCGAGCGAACAGAUAAGGAGCUUGCUCCUUUGACGUUAGCGGCGGACGGGUGAGUAACACGUGGGUAACCUACCUAUAAGACUGGGAUAACUUCGGGAAACCGGAGCUAAUACCGGAUAAUAUUUCGAACCGCAUGGUUCGAUAGUGAAAGAUGGUUUUGCUAUCACUUAUAGAUGGACCCGCGCCGUAUUAGCUAGUUGGUAAGGUAACGGCUUACCAAGGCGACGAUACGUAGCCGACCUGAGAGGGUGAUCGGCCACACUGGAACUGAGACACGGUCCAGACUCCUACGGGAGGCAGCAGUAGGGAAUCUUCCGCAAUGGGCGAAAGCCUGACGGAGCAACGCCGCGUGAGUGAUGAAGGUCUUCGGAUCGUAAAACUCUGUUAUUAGGGAAGAACAUACGUGUAAGUAACUGUGCACGUCUUGACGGUACCUAAUCAGAAAGCCACGGCUAACUACGUGCCAGCAGCCGCGGUAAUACGUAGGUGGCAAGCGUUAUCCGGAAUUAUUGGGCGUAAAGCGCGCGUAGGCGGUUUUUUAAGUCUGAUGUGAAAGCCCACGGCUCAACCGUGGAGGGUCAUUGGAAACUGGAAAACUUGAGUGCAGAAGAGGAAAGUGGAAUUCCAUGUGUAGCGGUGAAAUGCGCAGAGAUAUGGAGGAACACCAGUGGCGAAGGCGACUUUCUGGUCUGUAACUGACGCUGAUGUGCGAAAGCGUGGGGAUCAAACAGGAUUAGAUACCCUGGUAGUCCACGCCGUAAACGAUGAGUGCUAAGUGUUAGGGGGUUUCCGCCCCUUAGUGCUGCAGCUAACGCAUUAAGCACUCCGCCUGGGGAGUACGACCGCAAGGUUGAAACUCAAAGGAAUUGACGGGGACCCGCACAAGCGGUGGAGCAUGUGGUUUAAUUCGAAGCAACGCGAAGAACCUUACCAAAUCUUGACAUCCUUUGACAACUCUAGAGAUAGAGCUUUCCCCUUCGGGGGACAAAGUGACAGGUGGUGCAUGGUUGUCGUCAGCUCGUGUCGUGAGAUGUUGGGUUAAGUCCCGCAACGAGCGCAACCCUUAAGCUUAGUUGCCAUCAUUAAGUUGGGCACUCUAAGUUGACUGCCGGUGACAAACCGGAGGAAGGUGGGGAUGACGUCAAAUCAUCAUGCCCCUUAUGAUUUGGGCUACACACGUGCUACAAUGGACAAUACAAAGGGCAGCGAAACCGCGAGGUCAAGCAAAUCCCAUAAAGUUGUUCUCAGUUCGGAUUGUAGUCUGCAACUCGACUACAUGAAGCUGGAAUCGCUAGUAAUCGUAGAUCAGCAUGCUACGGUGAAUACGUUCCCGGGUCUUGUACACACCGCCCGUCACACCACGAGAGUUUGUAACACCCGAAGCCGGUGGAGUAACCAUUUGGAGCUAGCCGUCGAAGGUGGAUCCGAGGGG
rnacentral:rRNA from 1 species